UACAUUCGGUCUCCCCUCUCUCUGGUCUCCCGGCGGGCAGGUUCAUUUGCAAAACAGAGCAGACUCGCUAUUUUCAUAGACCUAUUACCCUUCAUCAUUUGCACCUCGAAGUUUUCUUUAGAACUGUGCCUUUUCAAUGCCGGGAACAAUUCAAAUUUCAGUCCUGGAUAUUGUGAAUCUUCCCUCUCAAUCACCUCCUUCUUCCAUGUCCAUCAAAGUAACAAUGGGGAAAAAGGAGUAUCAGAUUGGUGAUGAUGGCGAUUUCUCAAUUCCAUUAACUACCCUCCGCGAGAAUUUGGUUGUGAGACUACUAGACAAGGAUGGGAACGAGGUGUCUCGAACAGGUGUUGAGACCAAAUUGGCUGUUGAGAAAGGCCUUUGGGAUGAUUUCUUCCCUUUUGAAGGCGGUGGGGAAGUGCAUUUGAAGAUCCGGUUCACCCUCAGCGAUGAAGAGCAGAAUCGAAUACGAAUGAUGAGACUAUCUGCACUAAAGAAGAAGCACGGUGAACUUCUCAACCCCACUUCUAAAGUUGCCGGGAGUGCUUCAGCUGCUCGGAGUAAAGUUGCCACUGAAGGGAAUUUACAAAUUUCAGGAUCACUUGGACACCCUCAAGUUGGAUUUGAGAAGAUCAAAGCAGAAAUGGCACAAGGCGCUGCAGUACCAGAUUCUUCUGAAGAAGCUGAUGCAAAAUCUGGAAUUUGUAAACUGACUCGGCCUAGUCAGAAGCAAAUAAUCCCAGUCAAGGAUCAUACAAGUCAUACAGAUAGAAGUGAAGAUACUUCACCAAGUACUCCAUGUCGGAGGAUUGAUACAAGCCCAACUGGAGUUAGCUCGAAGAAAAUUUUCAAAAAGAUUGAGAACCAGUCAUCAUAUAAUGCUGUUCUUGCAGCACGUUUGAAAGAAGAAAAAGAUUCUUUGUUUCCUCACUUGACGUCAACCUCCUCCACUGUGAAAACCUCUUUGGUCUUUCCUGGACUUGAGAAAGGCGUCACUUGCAAUACGGAGGCACAAGAUCCUCUCGAGAGGACUCCAAGCAAUGUAAGGAAAGUCAUAAGUGUGUUUGAAAGUAGUCUAGCUCAGGAUAUGCAACCUUGUAUAAAAGCACCACCGGCUGAAACAGAACCGAGCACGUCCAGAACGGAAGAUUUUGCUAACCAUCAAUUUAAAAAAAUUAAGACAGAUAGUAAAGGAGCUGAGCCGAUUCCGCAGAAGGUCCAUAGUCCUUUUCUUAAUGAAGAGUCGCAGCAAGCUGCAUCUCGAAGUGAAACAGGAGCUGGUCCAACUAGACCACUGCACGUUACUAAAUCUUCUCAUGACACUGGGCGCUCGAAUAUAACAGCGACGGAGAAUCAACCAGAUAGUUCACAUGAUUGGUCUUCGGAGCAACAUGAAUCUAGGGGCAAUGUGGUUGGAAGGAGUGGAAAAGCAAUAGAUUCCGUAGAUUCACAAAAAAUAAAAUUUCGAAGAGCUCCGAACGAUAAAGUGAAGUCAAUGAGUUGCUGCCAAAGGGACCAUGAUGCAUUUGAGAGGUCAGGACCGUCAGGUGCGUGGAUAUUUCCUUACGAACCCAGUAACCUUUGUAUUACUUCGGGAGGGAAACAGGCAACGCAUCUGAUGGGAUGCUGCAGUAUCGAAACGAGUACAUUGAGGGGGAAAAUUAGGAUGUCGAUGCCUGAAAAUGCUGGAGAGCAUACAAAGGGGAGAAGAAACGAAAACGAGGCGAAGAAAGACCAGACGAAUUCUUACAGGAAGACGAGACCAAAAACCGACAAUUCAACAGAUGUCGAUUCUUCUGGAGGACCGAUCGGGCAGUGACUUGUGAAUCAACUGGCAUCGACUAUCAGUACAUUAUAAUCAGUGAAAAAACGCAACUCGGACCAAAAGAGCGAGAAUCCCGUCAAUCGCUAAAUGUUUCUCCCUCCUUGCUAGGUGAUGAAAGUUGCAAUUAUGGUAGGAUUUGGGGCUCUUGUUCUGCUCACCAGGCAAAGAAAAGACAGGUAACAUUGCAUGGUGGUGAAGCAGCCAUUGGAGGAAACAUCACAUGCUCGAGCUAGAACAAUGUCUGGUCACGAAGUCAUAUCUGCUUGUUCAUGGUUUUGAAUUAUCUGCAAAAGCUACCAGCACCCUCUCUCCUUUUGCCUUGUUUUACAUGAGUGAAGGAUCUUCAUGUAAAGUGCCAUGGGAGUUGUAACUGUACAUUCAUUCUCGAAGCGACUCGACGAUCUUGAAAUGCAGAUCAUCUUCUCCU